GCCGCGUAUUUACGGGCUAGUUCUAUAUGAACCAUCUCACUCGUAAUGAGAAGGUCGUCAGUUCGAUUCUGACAGGCGGCU
rnacentral:tRNA from 1 species